UGGGAAUAUUGGACAAUGGGCGAAAGCCUGAUCCAGCCAUGCCGCGUGUGUGAAGAAGGUCUUCGGAUUGUAAAGCACUUUAAGUUGGGAGGAAGGGCAGUUACCUAAUACGUGAUUGUCUUGACGUUACCGACAGAAUAAGCACCGGCUAACUCUGUGCCAGCAGCCGCGGUAAUACAGAGGGUGCAAGCGUUAAUCGGAAUUACUGGGCGUAAAGCGCGCGUAGGUGGUUUGUUAAGUUGGAUGUGAAAUCCCCGGGCUCAACCUGGGAACUGCAUUCAAAACUGACAGGCUAGAGUAUGGUAGAGGGUGGUGGAAUUUCCUGUGUAGCGGUGAAAUGCGUAGAUAUAGGAAGGAACACCAGUGGCGAAGGCGACCACCUGGACUGAUACUGACACUGAGGUGCGAAAGCGUGGGGAGCAAAACAGGAUUAGAUACCCUGGUAGUCCACGCCGUAAAACGAUGUCAACUAGCCGUUGGGAGCCUUGAGCUCUUAGUGGCGCAGCUAACGCAUUAAGUUGACCGCCUGGGGAGUACGGCCGCAAGGUUAAAACUCAAAUGAAUUGACGGGGUCAUAGCUGUUUCCUG
rnacentral:rRNA from 1 species